GGGCACAUGGUCUAGUGGUAUGAUACUCCCUUCGCAUACAAAUUUCAGUUGUGAUUUGGGAGGGGUCCGGGGUUCAAUUCCCUGUGUGUCCA
rnacentral:tRNA from 1 species